rnacentral:misc_RNA from 1 species
UCUCCGUAGGUGAACCUGCGGAGGGAUCAUUACUGAGUGAGGGCCCCCGGGCCCGACCUCCAACCCUUUGUGAACCAUACCUCGUUGCUUCGGGGGCGACCCUGCCGUCCGCGGCGCCGGCGCCCCCGGAGACCAUCAAACCCUGCGUAACUAAGUCGUCGGAGUUUAAACAAAUUAAACAAAACUUUCAACAACGGAUCUCUUGGUUCGGGCAUCGAUGAAGAACGCAGC